AUGGCUUGGGCCAAGGUGGGCGCUUGCAAGUCCAUCCAGGAGCUACAGAGGAAGAAGCAGUCCGAUGAAAUGCGCUUCUCAGGGUGCACGCUGGCAGGACCACCAGCUCUCUGCGCUCCACAGGGCCCCCCACCCAACCUGGCCUGAUAAAGCGUUCAGGCUGGGGUACAAGGCCAAGCAAGGUUAUGUCAUAUAUCAGACUCGUGUGCAUUGUGGUGGCCGCAAACGCCCAGUUCCUAAGGGUGCUACCUCUGGCAAGCCUGUCCAUCAUGGUGGUAACCAGCUCAAGUUUGCCUGAAGCCUUCAGUCUGUUGCAGAGGAGUGAAUUGGAUGCCACUGGGGCUCUGAGAGUCUUGAAUUCUUCCUGGGUUGGUGAAGAUUCCACAUACUAAUUCUUUGAGGUUAUCCUCAUUGAUCCAUUCCAUAAAGCUAUCGGAAGAAAUCCUGACACCCAGUGGAUCACCAAACCAGUCCACAAGCACAGGGAGAUGCGAGGGCUAACAUCCGCAGGCCCAAGAGCCGUGGCCUUGGAAAGGGUCACAAGUUCCACCACACUAUUGGUGGUUCUUGCCAUGCAGCAUGGAGAAGAUGCAGUAUCCUCCGCCUCCACCAUUACUGCUAACAUAGGUAAUAUUUGUAAAAUUCUUACCUAAUAAAUAAUUCAGGACAGUCAAAAAAAAAAAAAAGAAAUUGCAUUCCAAGUACAGGGGUAGAAAGAACAGAAUCAUGGAAGGAAUAAGUAGUGUAGUAUAUUAGGAGACCUCCAUUGGUUUUUUGCAGGAAGGCAAAGAGCAAAGGGAAAGUAGUGGGAAGUGAGGAUGGCCUGGAUUUCCAGUGUCUGCUAGACUAAGAAGGCUGUGAUAUGAUCAACUUUGCCUGUUAGAAUGAUCAUUUUGCAGCUGUGGGGAGAAUGGAUUUGCAGGCAAGAGCCUAUGAGGUCCCCUUCAUGAUAAAAAAAAAAAAACCCACCCUCCCCAACCCCAAAACCUCAUUAGGAAUGGAAUGGAGCUCCCUUAAAUGGAUAAAGACCAUUUGUUGCAAAACCCACUGCUAACAUCAUGCCCAGUGGUGAAAGACUAAAGGCUCUCCCCUUAAGAUCCAGAAUGAAACAAGGAUGCCCACACUUGUCAUUCUUAUUAAAUAUUGUACAAGUAGCUCUAGCUGGAUAAUUGGGCCAGGAGAUGAAAUCAAAACCAUCCACGGUAGAAAGGAAGUAAAAUGCACCUCCAUUUGCAGAUAGCAUGAUGUUGUAGAAGUAAAUUCACUAGAACACUCUUAGAACUAAUACGUUCAGUAAGGUAGCAGGAUAUAAGAUCUGUAUGCAAAAGUCAGUUGUAUUAGUAAAUAAUUAAAAUGAACAACCAGGAAAUUAAAUUAAGAAUAUAAUUCUUUUCAUAAUAUUAAAAGUUAAUUAGGAAUAAAAUGAACAAAAAACUACAAGGCUUGUGUACUGAACACUACAAAACAUCACAGAAGUUUAGGAAGACCGAAGUAAUAAAAAGACAUCCCAAGUUUACAGGUUGGAAGGCUUCAUAUUGUUGAGUUGGCAGUACCACCCAGACCAAUGCACAGAUUCCUUGCAGUCUCCAUCAAAAUCCCCGCUGGGUUCUUUUGCAAAAAUCAAGCUGAUCCUCAACUGCAUGUUUUUCUAGCAUGAGUUCCUGGGAGAAUGGCUUCACUCAGACAUUGCCAACUUAAUACGAGGUUGACAGGUGUGAGGCAUGACGAUGUCUAAGGCCUUGUUCUAAGCCUGUGACCUAUAUUCAAGAGGUAAUCUUUACAAGCCUGUACGUCCACACUGAUGGGUGAGGAAAUGGGAAGGAAGUAGCCCUAGGUCACACAGCUGGAAGCUGGGGAGCCAGGAUUCCAACACCAUCAUUCUGGUACCACAACCCAUGGUCUUGACCCCUACUGAAUACUGCUUCUUUCCCCAGUGAGAGAAUACAAGAGCUAAGUGGAACAUUCUGAGCCAGAGGCUUCUGGACAUGUAGGUAGAGGUGCUAAGCAGAUGGUUGGCUUCAUAUCUGGAAGUUGAGGAGAGGGCUUGGCCUCUGAUCAGGAUCUGAGCACCAUCAACAUAAAAGCAGUAUUGUCAUCAUGGUUGGGAGAAGGUAGUGAGAUGGGCAGGUAGGUGAUAUCAGACUCAUGUUUCACAGGAACUGAGAGACUAAAGGUCAGGGGUCGAAUUGGCCUCUUGCAAAAUUCGUAUGUGGACAUCCUAACCCCGGGACCUCAGACUGUGACCUUAUUUGGAGAUAGUUUUUAUAGAGACAGUCUAGUGAAAGUGAGGUCCUGAGGGUGGGCCCCAAUCCAAUAUGACUGGUGUCCUUAUCGAAAGGGAAACUUGGAGAUGGACAUGCCCACAGGGAGGAUGCAUGUAAAUGUGCAGACAACCAUCUCCAAGCCAAGAAGAGGCCUCGGAAGUAACUGUCCUUGCCGACACCCAUCUCAGACUUCCAGCCCCCAGGAUUAUGAGAUGAGAAAUUUCUGUUGUCUCAACCACCUGGUUUUGGUACUUUAUUCUGGCAGCACCAACGGGCUAAUGCAGGAAGGAAGGAAGAACGUCCAAUAGGAGGGAUUAUCAACAGUGUCAAGUCCGUAGAGGACAGAACCCAGACCUGCCUACCAGGUCUGAGCCAGCUCCCAGUACCUGACAUCACAGUGCCUCCCGAGCAGGCCUGCUUUGUCGCUGUUGUGACCUGAGGUGACAUCCCCUGCUGAGUCAUGUUCUGGCCCCUCCAGAGCAGGAGUGGGAGCAUCAGGGACCCCUCGAUCCCCCUUGAUCCCAUCAUUGGCUGUCAGUCUCAACCUCUCCUAAGCUUGAGUUUUUGCAAGCCAGAUGUGGGAGUUAGAUGAGUCCUUGUUAAAUGUCAUCUCACUGGUUUUGAUUCCCCACAUCGCCCAGUAUGUUGCUUAAAAUUUCAGCUCUGCUGUCUUUCAGGUAAGCUUUCCCCGGAGACAUGUGGUGUCCCCAGAAUUGAAAGGGAUUUGCUUAUUUUGCGCUUAUCUAAGUGACCGAAAAGAGGGAAAACCUGUAGGAGACAAUACCAGAGGGGCAGCAGCCGCGGGCAGCGCCCCAGCUGUGCCCCUGGGGUCCUGGGGAAAGUCUGUCUUCUCUUGGUUCCCGGGUCCCGGGACCACCUGCGGCAGCCCUCAGUCCCUGCUUCUUGACUCCUCUGUAGGCACCUCCUCUUCCCUGCCCCUCAGUGUGGGCAGUGCUGGAGCUGGGUUCUUCACCAGUUGGCCCUUAUGCUUCUGUGUCUUGACGAUCCCCUCUCCGCUCCUGGUGCUAGUUCCUGCCUGUGGCUCUCAGUGGUUCUCCCGGCUGAUUGCUUUGAUCCAGCUGGUAUCCACCCCAGGUAACUCUUGGGCUUCAGUGUCCUCUUCUAUAGAACGAGGGGAGUAAUAAUAAUAACAGACCACGCGAGGGCGUUAAGAUGAUCGAACGAGGUAAUACAGCUGGAGAGUUUAUUGGCAGUAGUGCCCGGUACACGCGAAGUCCUCUGUACGUGGUCCCGUUACUGCGACCACCACCACGGGCACGUGACCGCCGCUGACUCCAGCCCGCGUGUCCCAGGGCGCCUCGCCACGCACGGCAGGCUGCAAGUGUUGAACUCCGGUCGGGCAGCUCUCCCGUUGCCGCUUCUCACCCGGCCUGAAAUCCUUUGCAGUUUAUGCAGGGUUGACCUGAAUUCUCACCUCUCUCCCCAUGUGUGCGUGCAGUGUCCUAGAGUGUCCUCUCAUGCCGGUUCCUCAGGGCUCACGCCGCUGCUCCGCGUACUCGGUGAAGUUGAGCAAACGCUUGGAUGAGAUGAGCAGGGCACUAAUCAGUAUUUGCCAGCCACCGUGAAGAUGAUGAUUUAUAUACGUGUUAACCAUCACCGCAGCCCUUUAUGGUGGGCAUUUGAUCCCCUCGUCCCAACUGAACACUUUGAAGUCCAGUUGCUGAUCCGGGAGAAUAAUAUUCAUACUCCUUCUUGAGUGCUGAGGAACCUGGAGCUACUUAGAACCUCCUGGUCCGUUCAGAACUAGCUUGCCAUCUCGGGCCCUGCUGACUGUGCCCGUGGGACCCACUGCUUGCUGUGUGCAGGGGGACCAGAGAGUGGGGAGCGGCCAGGGGCUGAGUGCACCAUUGCUCUCAGGAGUGCGAGCAUGAUCGGGCCUGCCCACCUGGAAGGUGCCUUCAUGUAUUGUGUUAUUUGGCUCCACCAGACAAACUGGUUUAGCACAACAAAGUACAGACUGAAAAUGUAAAAGAUUUACCUCUGUCCUGUUUCUGUUCUAGAUGCAGUGAACCACUCCCAAAUGGGUUAACUGCUUCCAGAAACCUAAUCAAUAGGACAUGGCUGUAAAUAGUAUCUGUAAAUUAGCAAUUUGCAAUCCCAAUAAAAUAUGAACAGAUUGCAACAAUAAAUAGAAGAACUGAGCACAAAAUGAGAGUAACUCUAUUUGUGUUGUUCAUUAUAUCAUUCAUCUUGGGCUCAGAACUCUGAAUGUACCAGUUCCAAGAAUCUUUUUACACCUUCUGUUGCAAGGUGAAUGUUAAGUAUUGUUGGACAGGAGUCUCUAAACGAAUUGCCUGAAGUUUUCUCUGAACUUCAGCAAGAGAGCUGGAAGGCAGGCACCCAAAAAGAAGGCCUUUUUUGGAGGGGCCUCCUGGGGUUGGGGUGAGGGUUGGAGUGGAUGUGAGGCCCUCAGUGAGACACUGUGGACCGUGGGCUGUCAGACAUGCUUCCUGAGGGGUUCUUACUGUCCUGAGCCUCGGUAUGAGCAGUUGAUGACGUAGUGGUGCAUUAAAUGUCUCCAGGCAGUAAGAAUGAGGUGAUUAGCGGACAGUCCUCAAGCUUCUUCUUAUGUACUGAGUCCAGUAAGUACAUUGGGUUUUUUUUUUCUCUGACAACAGAAAAUUUGGCAUAGAAACCACUUCAGUGUAAUAUGGCCGACUCUAGAAGCCAGGUAUGGAAGUCCGGUGAAAAUGUGGUUAAUUCCUAUGAUUGGUGAGUGGAAGUUAACUGUGAAAGUACCAAAUCCCGAGUGAGGGAGUUAGUUUCAUAACAGUGGUCUGGAGCUAUAACUACUAAAUGUUGGGGUAUACCUGACCUCUCAAGUGGUCUAGGUGCUUUCCUCCCUCCCUGCCCACACUCCCCUUGUGCUGUUGGUGGUGGUGUGGCCUGUUCCUAUGCCCACUUGAGGAUGAGCUCCUGAGGGCAGGCCUCGGCUGUCUCGUUCAUUGCCACACCCCGAGCCAGCACCCGGCGCACGGUAGGAUCCCAGCAAACAUUCCCGAGUAAGUGAAUGAAUGCAUGGCUGUCUUCCCUGUCGAUUGAAAGUCCCACAGGAGAGGUUGCGUGUGCGUAGCCUCCUACAGCCCCAGAGCCUCCUGGCGUCUGGUACUAGGUGUGGGGGUCCGGGCCUGGAGGCGUGGGUGCUAACACCAUAUGCUUUCCCCGGGCAGUGGGGUGUCCCUUUGCCUCUGUCUCCUCUUCUGUAAAUUCCUUCUCUGUGGCUUAUUUUGAGAAUCAAAUGAAAUAAUACAUAAAAGAUGCUUUUAAAACCAUGAAGUAUUAUUGGUGAUUGAGCUGUGUGUGUGUUCUGUCUACCUUCCAUCACUGUAAUUAUGCUCAUUUAGGCCAGAGUGAUGUUCGUGCUUAAGAUGAAAAUAACUCCGAUAAUGUUCGUAAGUUUGGAUUUAUUCUUUGAUUCCCCAUCUUCCUGCCACGAAGUUAUCAAGCUAUAAAUAAAUAUUAUGACUUUUAUGACAGAGGAGUGGAAACAGCGCUUCUUCCCUGACACAGCCAACUUGUCUUUACGGUGUUAGCCAGCGCAACUUGGUGUCCCCUUGAAUUAUUGAUUCUGCCCUGCUGUCUCAUGCCUAGAAUUAAGGUAUCAGCUGAGAAACAGAGUUGUUUGUGAGAUGUGAGCUUCUGUGUGUAUGCUAAGAGCAUCUGUGCUGCCCCCACUAAAGAAAAUAAUUCAAGUGUACAUUGAAUGAGAGGUGUGAGGCAUUAUGGUUGGCGUAGGGGAGGGGCUCCCAUGUUCUUGUCUCAGGAAGCUCUUAGGCUUCAUAGGAUUUUCUGCUUAGGUUCAUACUAACGUGGGUAUUUUGCUGUUGAAUAUUGCAGGAUAGAGUAAAACAUGGAACCGAGAGGCAGUCAUACAGAAGGAAAAGAAUAAAUUGAUACUUGAAUAGAAACAGGAGGAAACUUGUCUUUAUUGAGCAUCUGUGUUAUGUGAUGGAUGAUCUCAGUACUUCAUUGGAUUAGUUACCAUAAUCAUACUGCAAGAUGAGUGUGCUUAUCCCCGUGUUUUUCAAAACCAAGGCUCAUAGCUAGUAAGUUGCCCAAGGUGAUAGUUCAUAAAUGACAGGGCAGGUGGUUUCAGAGCAUGGUGUGUGGGUAACUAUAAGAAGCUUAUAGUUAUUACUCAUUAUAAAGUACAAGAGGCACAGUGGUAGGUGAGCACCACACCAUUAAGAUGGAAGGAAGAUUUUUAUAGGAAUUUAAAAGCUCAAAUUGAUUAUAAAAUGUCAUAAUGUUGUUAUUUAAAAAUAGUUUAAAGUAGUUGUUGCUAGGAGCAUGGUUUUUUUUGUAAAUUUUUUUUUUAGAUUUUAUUUAUUUAUUUGACAGAGCACAUGUGCACACAAGCAGGGGGAGCGGCAGGCAGAGGGAGAGGGAGGAGCAGGGUCCCCGCAGAGCAGGGAGCCCGAUGCGGGGCUCGAUGCGGGGCUCGAUCCAGGACCCUGGGAUCAUGACCUGAGCCGAAGGCAAACGCUUAAUGACUGAGCCACCCGGGGGCGCCCCACAGAGCAUGCUUUCUUAAUGGAGAUCCAUUGGCUUGAGUAGAAGUCAAGUUGAAAACUGUGUAUAUAUGUACACUGUCAUGUUCAUCGCCUGCCCUGCCCACAUGCAUGCAUGGUACCUGUGGACACCUUCUCCCAGAGAGUGAGUGCAGGAUUUAGUUCUUCCCUGAACCCUACUUGGAACGGGCCGUGGUAUGAGGGGGUAGACAGCUGCUUGCUGUGGCGACCGUCACACAUGCCUUGUGGCCACACAGCUACUCCUGUGUUUUGUGCCACCUUCCACGUGAAUUCUGUAGAUAUACAGUAUUUCCUGAUACUUUCUCAAAAAAGGUGGUUUUGAAAAUUUAACUAGUGUAUUGAACAUCCACUUGUUAGUUGGAUUGAGUCAGCUCUGUUAUAUGCCAGGUAUUAUAUGAACUUUUAUAUACACUGUCUCAUUUUAGGUAGUAAGUAGUGAACUUAGGUGAUAUUUUCAGUAAAGGAGAGACGGUGAAGAUGGAAUUCCAGCCCAGAUGGCCCGGUGAGGUCCUGCUUUGUCUUGUCCUUGCCAGCAAAGGGGCUUAGACAAUAACAGGAAAAAUUUAAAAGGAGAAAACCAGAAAUACCUGUGAGUUAAAAAAAUUAGAUAAGCAAAUCCCAUGAAAUAGAAAAAAAAAAUGAAGCAGUUAGCUGGGUUCUAGGUUCGUUGGUGGCUACAAUUUUAGCAUAGUGCAAAAAACCUAAAUAAAACAGUAGCAAAUCAGACUCUGAUGGGUAUAAAAGGAAUAAUAUGUCACGACCAAGUAGAUUUUAUCUCAGAAAUGCGAGGAUGGUUCUAAGCCAGGAAAUCUGUGUGACCUAUAUCAUACUAGCAAAUCAACUGAAAGAAAAAUACAAAAAUUUAAUAGUUACAAAAAAGAUAAAACUCAACAUAUAUUCAUACUGACUCUUAAUAAACCAAGACUGUGACGGAGUAUUAGCUUAAUUAAGGGUGUUUGUGAAAAAUCUAUAAGAAACACACUUAGAAGUGAAACUUCAGACACAUGAUCUUUUUAAGAAAUGAUAAGAAAAGAUUAAACACAUAAGAGGUGUGUGAAUUAUAAUGGGAGAAACAAAACUGCAGAUGGGGGAUUGUCUAUGUGGAAAAUUCAAGAGACUAUGGACAGACCAUUAGAAUUGGAGAGUUCAAGUUUUCUUAAUUAAAAAAAAUAGCAUAUCUCCGUGCCAAUAAAAGCCAAUCAGAAGAUACAACUUAGAAUAUUCACAUUCACACUAGUGACCAGUACUCUGCUAUUGUUAAAAAAAAAAUCCAGCCAUGUAUGUAAGACCUUUAUGAAGGCUGUCACAAAACAUACAAGUAGACCUGAUAAAAUAGCAAAUGAUACACUAUGUGGAGGGGAAGACUUGAUAUUUUGAAGAUGUUGACUUACAGCCAGAUCUGUGGAUUACCUAUAAUUCCUAGCAAAAUUCCAACAGGUUUUAAAAUCAACUUGACAUGCUAAUUUUAGAAUUCAUAUAGAAGAACGAGCCAAGAGUAGCCAAGAAGAAAGUGACCAAGUUGUGGAGUCUUGCCCCAUGAGAUAGUAAGGCUUGUGAAGCGAGAGUAAUUAGAACCAUCUGAUGAAUGUACAGGGAGAGAUAGACAAAUGGAAGAAAAUAGAAAGCCCCAAAUCAAAUCCGUAGGUAUAGGGAAAUUGGACAUGCCUUAUUUCAUUAAUUCUACGAAAUACCUCUAUUUUAUCGCUAAAAUACAAUUUCAUCUUAUUUAUGAUGUUUUAUAAUUGUUGUCAGCCAGAUGGCAGACCUAACAUGGUUUUGUAAGAACCUUCUGAGGAGAAUUUUAGAACUGAUGGAAUGUGGAAUGGCAGGGAGAUGUUCUAAAUCAGUGGGAGCAAGGAAGAACCUUUUCAUAAACGGUGCUGGCACGUUUGGUUAUACAUAUGGGAGGAACCCAGGAGUACCAUAAGCAAGAUCAGUAUCGGAUAGGAUAAAUAUUCCAGGAUGAAAAAGCAACAUGUUUGCAGUUUUAGAAGAUCGUAUAGGGGGUGACCCAGGGGAGGGGCAGGGUUUCUUCAGCUUGGCAUACAGAGCAUAAACCGGAAAGGAGGAGGCUGUCCAGCUUGAUUACAUCACACUCUUACAAAAUCCUGCAAAGGAGAAUGUGAGCAAAAUUUAAAGCUAAGUCACAUGUAUGUUAUGACAUUUUAUGCGUUGUUAGGUCUAUAUGAUAAAUCCCAAGUGAAGAAAAAGUUAAGGAGAUAGAGGGAGAGAGAAUCCACAGAAAGGGAGAUGUGAUCAGCACCCUUAACUAACAAAGGACUAGAUUGUACGAGGGAUUAUCACUGAUGCUUGAAUCUGGAAGCAGCAGUUAGGGAAGCAGGUGGUGGAGCCGAGCAGACCUGCAGGAAGAGGAAGCCUGAGCCGGCUCAGCCAUGCAGAUGCUCCUGUUUGGUCCCUCUUGCCUGACAGGCGCCUGUGCCCCGCCCGUGAUUAAAUAGCAGUAGUAA